AGCCCGGGCAACAUAGUGAUACUCCAUCUCUUUUAAAAAAAAAAAAAAAGGCACAUGGCUGGGCGUGGUGGCUUAUGCCUGUAAUCGCAGCAUUUUGGGAGGCCAAGGCAGGCAGAUCACUUGACGUCAGGAGUUUGAGACCAGCCUGGCCAACAUGGUGAAACCCCGUCUCUACUAAAAACACAAAAAUUAGCCAGGUGUGGUGGUGCGUGCCUGUAGUCCCAGCUACUCAGGAGGCUGAGGCAGGAGAAUUGCUUGAACCCAGAAGGCAGAGGUUGCANNNNNNNNNNACCACCACGGGCAGAAUGUGGAAACGUCUACGGGACAAAUCAUAAAGAAAACCCACAUGGACACAGAGAUGUACACUCAUACAGACAGAUCUGUAUACUCCAAAUGUAAAGCAACUUAGUGUUUAUGUUAAGCACUAACCUCUGUUUCUUUUUGUUUUUUAAUUCCGUAUUUUUUUAAAGGAUACAUGACAAUAUAUGACAAGAAGAAAACCCUUUUAUUUCAGAAAUACAAGGGUUUUCUUCUUGUCAUGUGUCCUUCCCUAGAUUUGGCAAGAGACCACUCCUAAGUCACCCUGCAUGAGUUAUCCAACUCUAUAAAAAGAAUCAACAAGCAUUGGUAUACCACUUGCUGCAUUCAUUGGAUGUCACUUAACAUGUAACUUCUAGGCUCACUUGGGCUUCAAUCCUGGGAGGCUCCUUAUUGGUAAUAUUAGUCUUCAGGAGGAUGGCUAGACCUGGUCCUACCCCAUCUUUGACCAGUCUCACCCGGGCACACCAAAAGGGACAGACAUGUAUGUGAGAGACAAGCAUUUUAGCACCUCAGAGAAGGGUAGUUUCUUAUUUGGAAUACAAAGUAAGUUAUAGGUUUUGCCAACCACCAAGGGAGGCGUGUCAUUGCGAUAGUGUUUAGACAGGAAUAGUCUAGGGAAUUUGUUUAGUGUGAAAAGGCUUCUUGAAGAAGAAAGGCACUGGGGCUUCCCUGGGUUGGUCUUGGCAUGUGUACACUAACCUCCCAAUGACACUGCGUACUCAACCUUUCUCUCCGCCUUCCAGGUCUCGUUCAACGCUGUGUCAUUAUCCAAAAGGACCAGCAUGGCUUCGGCUUCACAGUCAGUGGGGAUCGCAUUGUUCUGGUGCAGUCUGUGCGGCCUGGUGAGUGCUGCAUCCCUCCUGCCCACGGUGGACAGUUCUUGCAAAGCCACCGUGUAUGUGACAGUGCCAUUCUACCUGUGCUUUCCUGUGGGGCAUGAAUGAAUUACUCUAGAACUGGUUCUCCAUGGGUGCCUGGGGAAGCCUCUUCAAUGCUAAGCCCCCAGGCAGAAUUUCUAGAGAUUGCACCUCAUGCUUGCUUCCCUAGCUGGAAAGUGAAAAACCAGCAAAAUAGCUGUCAGGUCAUCAUCAGGCAGAUGUCUGAUUGCCAUCGAAGGGAGCCCCUCAUACUGGGUCACAAGAUUCCGUGGAGGAAUCAAAGGCCCCCUUUCUUCAUAUUUACCUCCACAUUACCUGGCUAAGUGCACAGAUGGUCACUUUCUACAGAGGUUUAUAACCUGAGACAGGCACAAUGGUCCAAAUGAUUACAGAGCACAUUUGCUGAUACAAUUAACAUUAAAUAAUAAAUUACCAACAGAUGAAUGAUAUGUUGGAUGUGAUGUCAGGGGAAAUGGUGUUUGGAAGUGUGAGUAGUUUGUG
rnacentral:lncRNA from 1 species